rnacentral:rRNA from 1 species
GACGUAGGGGGCAAGCGUUGUUCGGAUUUACUGGGCGUAAAGGGCGCGUAGGCGGCCACCGCAAGUCGACUGUGAAAUCUCCGGGCUUAACCCGGAAAGGUCAGCCGAUACUGCGGGGCUAGAGUGCAGAAGGGGCAACUGGAAUUCUCGGUGUAGCGGUGAAAUGCGUAGAUAUCGAGAGGAACACCUGCGGCGAAGGCGGGUUGCUGGGCUGACACCGACGCUGAGGCGCGAAAGCUAGGGGAGCGAACGGG